UUCCGGUUGGUCCUGCCGGCCCUGACUGCUAUCGGAUUGAUACUAAGCCAUGCGAGUCUUUGUAGUAAUACAAGGCAGACGGCUCAGUAACGCGUAGUCAACCUACCCUAUGGACGGGGAUAAUCUCGGGAAACUGAGCAUAAUACCCGGCGUACCAUCAUUCCUGGAAUGGUUGGUGGUUAAAAUGAUUCGUCGCCGUAGGAUGGGACUGCGACCUAUCAGCUUGUUGGUGGGGUAAAGGCCCACCAAGGCGAUUACAGGUACGGGCUCUGAGAGGAGAAGCCCGGAGAUGGGUACUGAGACACGGACCCAGGCCCUAUGGGGCGCAGCAGGCGAGAAAACUUUGCAAUGUGCGAAAGCACGACAAGGUUAAUCCGAGUGAUUUCUGCUAAAGGAAUCUUUUGCCAGUUCUAAAAAUACUAGUGAAUAAGGGGUGGGCAAGUUCUGGUGUCAGCCGCCGCGGUAAAACCAGCACCUCAAGUGGUCAGGAUGAUUAUUGGGCCUAAAGCAUCCGUAGCCUGCUCUGUAAGUUUUCGGUCAAAUCCAUGUGCUCAACGCAUGGGCUGCCGAAAAUACUGCAGUGCUAGAAAGUGGGAGAGGUAGACGGUACUUGGUAGGAAGGGGUAAAAUCCUUUGAUCUAUCGAUGACCACCUGUGGCGAAGGCGGUCUACCAGAACACGUUCGACAGUGAGGGAUGAAAGCUGGGGGAGCAAACCGGAUUAGAUACCCGGGUAGUCCCAGCUGUAAACGAUGCAGACUCGAUGAUGCAUUGGCAUAUAGCCAGUGCAGUGUCGCAGG
rnacentral:rRNA from 1 species